UUCCUCAUUGGCUUAUAUCCACUUUCUAAUAGGUACUUGAAGCUCGUGUCAUAGAAACAUAAGAAAGUAUGUUGAGAUUGGCUUCCUCACUAGUGCGGGAUGUUGCUGCAUUGCGUUCUCAGUGUUUUGGAUCACACACCACUUGUUCAGUCCCUUGCCUACAACCAUCGCAACAAGUUGAAGAACAUACAAGCCGUGACACAACAGACAUUCAGCCUUUUGCUGAAGAAUUCGUAAAAACAACACAACCUCCUACUAAGCCCAUGAUCCCCAAUUGAAAUGCAAGCAUCAACAACAACCCUUGCUUCCAAACAAGUGCCCCCACAAUCUCAUGCAUAGUCCUCUCUUCAAUCGGAAUUGGGGGUAGGAGAAGAGGUGGAAAAUGUUGGGGCAGGUGCUAGUGGCACCCAAUCAGUCAUCCUUUCGUCUAUUUGGAGAUAUAAACAGACUGCUAAGAGGAUUUUGAAGCGUACUGCCAUUUGCAAAUCGCCAUUUGUCGCGCAAUGCCUGAAACAAUUCCUUAAAAUCCCACAUCAAGAUAGGGUCAUAGCUAAUUAUGCAUUGAUAGAAGAUGUUGAUCCUAGUGAGGUUUUAUGGGACAUGCAUGGGAUGUACAUAACAAGGGAAGAGUUGUCUUGUUUAAAUGGAGAUCGAUGGGUGAAUGGUGUGGUAAGUUACUAAUCCUUCAGUUGAAUUCAAUUGCCAAUUAACGGUUCAUAUGAAUGCAUGAAGUCUAGAGUCGGGUUGUAAAAAAAAUAUUGCACAAGAUACACUAAACAUUAUCAACUCUCACAAGAAUCAAUAGAUCCAUGCAAUGAAUUAUGUGGAUACAAAUAACAUGGAUGACUAAAAUAGUAGGAGGGAUAAAUCAAUGAAGUUUAGUUCACACUAUUGCUGCUCAAUGAAGGAAACAAUGUUAGAGACAAAAUUAUGCAGGCGUGUCUAUUGUAACUGAAGCAAUUCCUCGUGAAGUGUGUCAUUUUGUUCAGGUAAUCAAUAGUAUUGCACAAGAUGCACUAAACAUUAUCAACUCUCACAAGAAUCAAUAGAUCCAUGCAAUGAAUUAUGUGGAUACAAAUGACAUGGAUGACUAAAAUAGUAGGAGGGAUAAAUCAAUGAAGUUUAGUUCACGCUAUUGCUGCUCAAUGAAGGAAACAAUGUUAGAGACAAAAUUAUGCAGACGUGUCAAUUGUAACUGAAGCAGUUCCUCGUGAAGUGUCAUUUUGUUGAGGUAAUCAAUAGUAUUGCACAAGAUACACUAAACAUUAUCAACUCUCACAAGAAUCAAUAGAUCCAUGCAAUGAAUUAUGUGGAUGCAAAUAACAUGCAUGACUAAAAUGGCAGGAGGGAUAAAUCAGUGAAGUUUAGUUCACGCUGGUUAGAUGGUCAAGUUUUCCCUUGUUGUCGAUCAAUAGGUUCACACAUUGGGCCCAUUCUAAUUAAUUUUUACCAUUCAGUUUAUGAACGGUUAAUUGAAAUGAAGAGUUUAGAUUGUUGGUGUCAAAAUUCUGGAUUGAUGUUGAGGAGACAUUUUGAAUGCUGUCCUCAUCUCCCCUGGAUGUAACCGAGCUUCUGGUAGCUUUGAUAAUGGCAGAAGUAUACCAUCUGCUUCAAAAUUUGGCAUAUCAGACUUCCAGGUCAUGUAGAGUGCCCCACACCUUUCUUUUGGGUGUAGUCCAUCAAAAAUCGCAUCAUAAGGAUGCAGCAUAGAGUAUGUUUGUUCCUUUUUUUGUUAGGUUCAUCAAAAUCCACAUCUUAUGGAUGCAAUUAUAAAAGUAACAAUACCACAUUCUGGAAAUGUAAUUUGGCGGCCUCUCAUAUGGACCACAUUGAUUUCCUUUUCCCCUUUAGAACACCAUCCCUGAGAUCCGACUUUUAGUCAAACAAAAAUAAAUGCAUAUCUUAGUGUGUUUGGUUACUUCUUAUAACAACUGGUUUCCCAAAAUUAUUGGAUUUUGGAAAACAAAGAACUCUACUCUACAAAAUGUUUUGAGCUGGUGUAAUUAUUGUAAAUUGUUUUUAUUAGUAUCUUCUGCAGCGAUU